rnacentral:tRNA from 1 species
GGAGAGAUGGCCGAGCGGUUCAAGGCGUAGC